UACAGGGGGGGCAAGCGUUGUUCGGAAUUACUGGGCGUAAAGGGUCUGUAGGUGGCCAACUAAGUCAGACGUGAAAAUCCCUCAGCUUAACUGGGGAACUGCGUCUGAUACUGGAUGGCUCGAGUGUGGGAGAGGGAUGUGGAAUUCCAGGUGUAGCGGUGAAAUGCGUAGAUAUCUGGAGGAACACCGGUGGCGAAGGCGGCAUCCUGGACCGGCAUUGACGCUGAGGCGCGAAAGCCAGGGGAGCAAACGGG
rnacentral:rRNA from 1 species